AUAAGAAGAAAGAGGAAAUGAGAGAGGAGCUGCUGUCGGUCUGGUCAGUUGUUUUGCUUACCAUACAUUAUCCCCCGUUUAUUAUUUAUACUUUUCAUACACACAGCAGGAUGGCUUCCCUGACCUUCCACACAAGGACGGUUUGUGUGUGUGACAGUAAGUGUGUGUUCUCCCACACUUCAUCUCUGACUCACAUGUCUUUGUGCCAAAGGUGAAUGACGACAUGAACAUGUGCAGCUACAUGAUUUUAUAAAAUUGAAGGAUGUUUACGGGCACUGCCACUGUUUACAGAACAUGCUAAAUGGUUGAAUAUGGGUAUGGCUUGUUUUCUUUGUUAUGCUGUCUCUGUCAGUUUGUUUAUCCUAUCAUUGCCUGGUCGUUUGUGUCUUGGCUGUUGUGUCUUUGUGGGGAUGACUGUGAGGUAACACUAAAAUAGUGAAGACUGUUCCUCAAACGGUAUAACAACUUAGCCCCCAAAGCUAAGUUUAAAAAAAAAAAAAAAGAUUAUGGUUAGGUUGAAGUAACCUAGCUGUAAGUGAUUCAUGAAUAUGACCAAUUAUCAGAGCCAGUUUUGUUCCUCAUGCAGCUGAAAAUAAGAAUGUUGAUUUUAGCUCCACAAAGCAGACAAAUCAAAUUUCCUGACCAAAAACCUACCUUUUUUUUAAACUUUCACUUCACUUUUAUUUUCUCAUGACCACAUACAUGGUAUGGAGCACAAACAAAAAUUAAACAAAACAAAUCAUAAGACAUAGCAAGCAGGUAGUAGGGCUGUGCAUACUUUGUACAUAUAUCGCUGAUCAGUGCAACAUAAAUAUAACAAAAGGUAUCACUUGAACAGAGGAAGGACAUGCCUCAGGAAGGCACCUAGCUUAUAAAUAACUUUAGUUUUAUCUGACUGUAAUAACAAGGUAAGUUUAAACAUAGAUGGGCGACAAACAAUAUUAAGGGAUGUUUUUUUUUCUUUUUCUCUUAGAUAUGCGAUACAUGUACUCUUGCACUCAAACAGAACGCGGAACUCAUCACCAAUCUGGCCAUCUUUGCAAAGGUCACAUAACCUCAUGCCCUUUAUACCUUCCAGUGACUGUUGGUAUUCUUGUAUUGUUUACACUGAAGUGGCAGAUGGCCAGUCUAUACUUUUGGUUUGGACACAAUAAAUACUUUUCUAAUUUAAAUUCUUGUUUAAACUCAGUGUAGAUGUCACAUGAUGUCAUACUGCCAAGUUCACUUCUCCAUGUCUGCAGAAACUGAUCUUUCAGUCUGUGUUCAAUAGUCAGCUUCAGCCAGUCAGAGCUAAUACACUUUUGAGAGAGCCAGAGAUAAAACAACCCACAACCAUCCAAUAUCUGCUUAACCUGCAGAAUCCAUGGUGACACAAAUACACCUGAGUUACACAAACCAAGUAAGCAGUUAUACACUAAUGUAUUCAAUUUAUUUUCUUUACCUUCUAUCAAAUGAUCCCAGUAACCAACAAUUAUUUUUUUUUAACUGCAACAACCCUUGUAAUUCAUAUUCAUAGUGAUUCUGAGGUAUUCAAAACAAUGGACAACUCCUGAUUUUUCUCCAGUACAGGUGAACUAAAGUUUGCUGAUGUCAGCUUUUCUGUGGCCGAAGACUGUAACUUUAGUCUUUUCACUACUGAUCUUUAAUUUCCAUCAGUUAAUAGGCUUGCAGCUAUCGCCUUUUAGAUGGUUCUCCAGGUCAUUAAUAAACAGUGCAAACAGCAAUGGUGAUAGGUUUUCCUCUUGCCUAAAACCUGCUAAACUUACAAAGAACUCUGAUUUCAUCCCAUUCACUUAAACCCCUUAUUGGCCUCCCAAAAGGACUCAAACUAAAGCUUUUUUCUUAACUUCAUUUUUGUGUCUUACAGAGAUUGUUCUCCAUUUCUAAAGCUGUUGAAGAGCUAUUUGAUGAUGAGGACAUCCAUGUCCAAACAGCCUUUGAUGCAAGUAUGUGAGCAUGAGUGAGAUUCAGUCAGAUCACAGUAUUUCCUUUCAAAGAACUGCCUGCAGCAUUGAGCCAUGCAGGGUUAAGUAAUGAAGCAUGCCGCUUUUCUACCUACAGUAAAUCCUGUUUUAGCUUUAAUUCCUGUUACUUGUGUAGACAUGGACAAAAAGCAUUUAACCUAUGAAGUUCAAGUGAUGAGCUAUCUGUUAAAUACCUAUUAUUUCCACUGCACAAACCUCAAUAAAGAGGAAACUGGCUGGAGGACAGAUCAUCAAAGUGCUAAAAGUGUUCAUUGACAAAGUAUUUUUUACCUUGCUUUCAAAAUGGACACCAUGGUGCAUUAAUAAUAUACAUAUUUGAAGUUAUUUAUGAGCACUACUGACAAAACUCUCUUUUGCUACCAUAGUUUAAAAAACAAAGAGCAGAAGUAGCUGUGAGGGUAGUGUUUGCUAUAUGAGAUCUCAUAAUGAUGCCCUCUAGAAAGCAUCAAGAGGACAAACAGACAUUACAGUUAUAAAAGUACAGAAAGAGUCUUUCUAAAUUGGGGCCACUUGGGAAAUUUUGUUCAACUAAAAAGUUAUGUGAGAAGAAGCACAUCAUCUUGAUAUUCCUCUGGAGUUCAUUAGGCUCUAAUCCACAAAUACACUGACCUCUACAGAGCUGUCUUGUGGCAUUUCUGCAUCGACAGGACUCACUGAAGGCAUCGCCCUGGACUACAAAUAUCCUACUGUAACAAGACACUCACAGAAAACACUCACAGGAACCAAAAUGAAGUCUGUGUUCAUCAACAUCUACAAAUUACUCAAGUUUAAAGUCAAAGUCUUCAUCUGAGCUCUUUUACAAAAUGAACAUCAUGUUGUAGAAAACUUAAAAAGUAGUAUUCAAGCCCAUAAACUCUCUGGAAGAGGGUUUUCUGAGGACAAAAAACAGCUGCAGGGGCUUUUUCUCUUGAUCUUCAUCUGUGCUCUUUUUGCAAUAUCAUGAGUUCCCCUUUAAGUUCAAAGCUCUUUAUUAUCAUUUGCUUCUUUGAAAACAGGCGGCUAUUUCUUUUGCUUUCAUAUAUCAUAUGCCUAAUUCAACAUGGAUGGCGAAUCUUGAACUUUAAAAAGUUAAAGGCUUCAUUGUGCAGUAAAUACUCAGUAAAAUCUGUAAACAAGCAAAAGCAAAGAAGGUCUAUAAAGAGGACAGAAAGGUCCAGGAGGGUCUGUGUUUUUUCAACAUGUGCUAGGGUGUGGAUUUUCUUUUCUGUCUAGUCUACGCUUUUCCCUCUUUAGGCUUUUCAUCAGUCAUUUUGUGUUACCCCGUCUCUUUUUCUUCUUCUCCCUCUCUGACUCUGAAGCAAAUUGAGUCUGAAUGAGCUCCAAAUCAUGUUCAAGUGCAGCCACAGACACUUCCAACUCUCUCAGACAGUCACUCAGCCUGGUAAACUAUUAUCAGCUCACACACAUACACACACACAUACAUAAACAGAUGCAGACUGCUCUGUCUGGCAGUCUACCAAGAGCCUUUGGCACUUGCGCUGCUGUACCAUCAUUAUCCUGUGAUGAAUAAUCUCUCUAUCGUUCUCUUUUACAGGACAGAGCCAAGGAGCUGCAGAGAGAGAGAGAGUCAGAGUGAUCAGAGACUGACACGUAGCGUGUCGUAAUGUCAGGCUGCAGCCCCAAAGAGUUUCUUCAAGAGCGUCUCAAUGACUCCUAGUGGCAACUUUGAACUGAGGACUCUAAGGGAAACUGGAUCUCAUCAAACAGUACUGAGCAGGGGGACAGGUUCGCAGGCAAGUCAAGAAUUAGGCAAAAUACCUUAAUCCACUCCAAUAUAAAACCAAUAUCUUGCUGCCUCUUGGUAUAUUUGAGACUCUUAUAUUAGCUUCAAGUAUUCUGAAUUAUCUCACUUUGCAGUUGCCUAAAGAGACUGAACAGUCGCUGGUCUGUUCUGUUGAAAAGCAGGAAAGGGGAAAAAACACAUCAAUUUCUCAAACCUCAUUUUCUCCUUAAUACAUG
rnacentral:lncRNA from 1 species